AGUCACACAGAUAAGGGGAUACUGUCAGCAAGUUUCUCCCACUCGCAGUCGCAGAGGCGGUUAUCCUCUUGAGGUUAAAGCUUUCUGUAACGGGAUUAUCGCAGCUAUGCUUCCCUACAUGUACUGGGGACAAUGGGAGCUGAUGAAAAUCAAUGACUCUUAUAUUGAGCCUCCUACUGAAGUCCGUGGAAAUUGAAGAGGAGAUGAAGCAGACUUGCAAAUGAUUAGUUCGGUGCUUUGGGAUGCAGGCUUGUCUCG